GGUGAACGCUGGCGGCGUGCCUAACACAUGCAAGUCGAGCGGUGCAGUUUGAAGCUUCGGUGGAAAGCUGCAUAGCGGCGGACGGGUGAGGAAAACGUAGGAACGUGCCCCUUGGAGUUGGAUAGCCACGGGAAACUGUGGGUAAACCGACAUAGACUCGAGAGAGUAAAGGCCGAAAGGCGCCAAGGGAGCGGCCUGCGGCCUAUCAGGUAGUUGGUAGGGUAAUAGCCUACCAAGCCGAUGACGGGUAGCCGGCCUGAGAGGGUGACCGGCCCGAGGGGCACUGAGAUACGGGUCCCACUCCUACGGGAGGCAGCAGGCUAGAAAUUUGGGCAAUGGGGGAAACCCUGACCCAGUGACGCCGCGUGCAGGAAGGAGCCCUUCGGGGUGUAAACUGCUGUCGUGUAGGGAGAAGGGUACUAAGGUGAACAAUCUUAGUACUUGACGGUACUACAGGAGGAAGCCCAGGCUAACCUCGUG
rnacentral:rRNA from 1 species